rnacentral:rRNA from 1 species
CCCGCUGAACUUAAGCAUAUCAAUAAGCGGAGGAAAAGAAACUAACAAGGAUUCCCCUAGUAACUGCGAGUGAAGCGGGAAGAGCUCAAAUUUAAAAUCUGACUGCCUCUGGCUGUCCGAGUUGUAGUCUGGAGAAGUGCUUUCCGUGUUGGACCGUGUAUAAGUCUCUUGGAACAGGGCGUCAUAGAGGGUGAGAAUCCCGUCUUUGACACGGACUACCAAUGCUUUGUGAUGCGCUCUCAAAGAGUCGAGUUGUUUGGGAAUGCAGCUCAAAAUGGGUGGUAAAUUCCAUCUAAAGCUACUAUAUAGGCGAGAGACCGAUAGCGAACAAGUACCGUGAGGGAAAGAUGAAAAAGCACUUUGGAAAGAGAGUUAAACAGUACGUGAAAUUGCUGAAAGGGAAACGCUUGAAGUCAGUCAUGUCUGCCAGGACUCAGCCUUGCUUCUGCUUGGUGCACUUUCUGGUUUGACGGGCCAACAUCAAUUUUGACCGUUGGAGAAAGGCUUUGGGAAUGUGGCAUCUUCGGGUGUGUUAUAGCCCAUUGUCGUAUGCAUCGAUUGGGAUUGAGGACCGCAGCACGCCUUCAUGCCCGGGGUUCGCCCACGUACGUGCUUAGGAUGUUGGCAUAAUGGCUUUAAGCGACCCGUCUUGAAACACGG